rnacentral:rRNA from 1 species
GAUGAACGCUGGCGGCGUGCCUAAUACAUGCAAGUCGAGCGAACGGACGAGAAGCUUGCUUCUCUGAUGUUAGCGGCGGACGGGUGAGUAACACGUGGAUAACCUACCUAUAAGACUGGGAUAACUUCGGGAAACCGGAGCUAAUACCGGAUAAUAUUUUGAACCGCAUGGUUCAAAAGUGAAAGACGGUCUUGCUGUCACUUAUAGAUGGAUCCGCGCUGCAUUAGCUAGUUGGUAAGGUAACGGCUUACCAAGGCAACGAUGCAUAGCCGACCUGAGAGGGGGCUGGCCCACACGGAAACGGAGCACCGCCCCAGCCCCCUCGGGGGGCAGCAAGGGGGAAUUUUCCCGAAAGGGGGAAAGCCCGAAGGGACCAGCCCGGGGUGAUUAAUAAAGGUUUUGGUAUCUAAAACCUUUUUUAUUGGGAAAAAAAAUAUGGUAAAGUAAGUGUGCACAUCUGGAGGUUCCCAAAUAGGAAGGCCAGGCCUAACUACGUC